GGGGCCGUAGCUCAAUUGGGAGAGCACCACGUUUGCAACGUGGGGGUUGCCGGUUCGAGCCCGGUCGGCUCCA
rnacentral:tRNA from 1 species